UUUUUUAGAUUAGAUUCAGAGUUGAUUGAUUCUGAAGAUCCCCGUCUUUGCAAAGUAAAUUCCUGCGCUGCUUCAUGAGUUUUGUAGGUAAGGAGUCUUUAGGUCAAAAUGGUAGAGCAUCUGGGUUAAUGCCCUGGUUAUGGUAAUUCAAAUCCACCAAGACUUUGAACAAAACACUUUUGAAACACUGUUAAUGAUUUCUUGAGUUUUUGAUGAAUGUAGGUCUGGUGUUAUUUUUUUGGGUUGUAAUUGUAUGUUUUCUGAUGAAUUGAGACUUUUAAUCUGGGUUUUAGAGCUCAAGGUUUUUUGAGUUCAAGUUUAUAUGUGUAAUGUAGCAGCAGAGACGAGGCAAAACCAAUCCUUCUGAGUUUUACAUCUUCUUCCUCAUCUGGGUUCACAAUCCCUUACUCAAAACUGCCUUUGAUGGUGAAAUCAAUGGCCUCUGGUUUAUAUCAAAUUGGGAUCUGUCAGGGGGAUGUGGUUUCAAUUCUAUUAGCCGACAACAUUUACUUUCCUAUUAUAUACUUGGGUAUCUUGUCCAUUGGUGCCAUUGCCAUUGCCAUUAAUCCUCCCAAUAGUCUCCCUGAGAUACAGAAGCAAUUGAACCAAUGCUUAAGAAGAAAUGGUAAGCAACAAAAAUGGGAGAUGUAACUACAGUAACUCUUUUGAUGGGUGUGGGGAUCUCAAGGAGAUGAAGAAAGGGUUGGAAACUCUGUUUUGUCUACUGGACAGAGUAAGUAAGAACCUGUUGAUUGGGUAUUUAUUCUCUGUUUUGAGUUUUGUGGGUUUGUUUAUCAUAUUUGUUCAUAAGUUCUAACCCUUGAACACAGGUAACAAAAACUUGAAGAUAAUCAAGUAUGGAACUCAUAGAUUUUUUAGUUCUUGGUUUCAAUGAAGUGGGUUUCUGUGAUAAUCUUGUUAUUUUGGAGCUUGGACUGAUAAUUGAGUGGAAAAUGUGGUGAUAAGGAACAGGUGAACAGAAGAGGAGGAGUUGCAAGGAUGGAUGGAUAGGGAGGUGCAUGAUGUGUUGUAUUUUUAAUGGGGCUCUGUGCUAGUAAGGUUGCUACUUUUUUAUCUAUUGAUCCAUAUUGCUGUUCUGUAUGAAUCAAAUUCAAACUGAGAGGCACUUGUUAUCUUGCAAUUUAAAAAAAUUAAAAUUUGUUAGUCUUUUCACUUGCAAGUUACAAGUUUCUAUGAAAUGCCGAUUUGCUGCUUUGAUCUUUAGAUGGUCCUAUAUUAACCCAUUUUGAGUGUAAAUAAGUGAAUCUAUAUGAUCUUCAGCUUUUGCCUGUUUGUUCUGAUCACAUCAUUGAACCGAGAAAUAGAGCAUUUUCUAACCAUUGAGAAGUAGCAAAGGUUGUCACAGGGAAAGUCUAUUAUUAUGAACUUCUAUAGACAGACUCUAUACUAUCAUGUAAAUCUCAACAGAUUGUGUUGGCCUUUUGUGAACUUCUGGUUCUGUCCAGAAUCUAACUUUUGGGGAAUGCACUAGGGCUUGCAGAUAAUGCAAGAGCAAAGGUUAACACACAUUAAAGUAUGGAGGAACCACUAGGGAAAUGAAUGAUAGAUUGGUUGAUGCAGUAUGAUUGCAGCUCUGCAGAUAUAAAUCCUAUUGGAUCUUCGAGCCUUUCUACAAUGGGCUGCCUCCCAUCUCGGCUACCCAUCUUUGGCAGAAGUAGAAGCGGCUACUCCAAGAUUGAAACAAAUUACAAACUGGAUAAACCAGAAACACCAACAUAACUCUAGUAGCAUGAAGGUUGGUUCAGGUGGCAUUUCUCAGUACCAUCAAUGUUCAUUUUCCAUUUGCAGUUGCAGUUAGGGGCCUUACCAUCCAGAACAUCCAGCAAUAUGGAUAGUUAAAUAGCAUUAUAUUGACACAUGGUACCUCAAACAUCAAGAUGCUGUCCAAGCACAGAAUUAGCCCCUCUGUAACAAAUUCAUAGAGGAUGGAUCAUUGUUAAACAAUUUUUACUCUAUUCAAAGCGCAGAAUUAGCCUUUUCAUUUGCAA